GAUUUUUUUUUUCCGAAGCCCAAAAUAAAUUACUUCAAACAAAAGGCAGGAUGGAUUUUUGUAUUAAAACAUUUUCAGCAUGAAAUAAAAGUUUGUGAAUCCACCGGAGCUUAGAAACUACAAAGUGAGAAGGCUGCUUCAGCUGAUGCUCUUGCAUCAAGAUUGCACAACCCAACCAAUGGAUUCAUAGGCCCACAGACACAAUGCACUGUGCCUGUGCCCCCUGCUCCUCACCCUUCAUCCACCGCCAUGCUCCUGCAGAGCCCCCAGCUGCUUUACCUGUGGGAGCUGUGGCCUCCCGCCUGCUGGGGUGUGAGAACAGAUCAUAUUUACGUUGUCACGGGCAACGGACUAUAGGACACAGGUCUUCCGGUGUACCGACAAUGGCAUGCAGGUGAGCUGUGAGAUUAAGGAAACGUGCAGAUCCAAGCUGCUGUCUUCAACAUCCUCAUUUCAAGAAAAGGAACUGGAAGCUUCAAAACAAGGAAGCAGGAGAAGCUUUACUGUCAAAACUGAGCCAUAUGUGAAGCAGCUUGCAACAGCAGGCUGCAUCCACAAUUGUUCCUUGAGGUUACAUGACACUCUGCUUGACCAUGAUGGAGUUGUACAGGGACAUACUAGAUGAACACAGUUUAAACAUGCAUGUGAUCAAGCAAGGAAAAUCUACAAUAAUCGUCUCUGUAACUGAAAUCCACAGUGAAUUAUUGAUUUCAUUAGUGAAAAUAAAUAAUAGAAAAAGCAAUAAGAAUUUGCUCAAACUGUUGAAUGAGAACAAUCACAUCACAAAGCAUUGUUUAAAAAUGUAUUAAGUGACAAUAGAUGUUCACAAUGUACUGGAUUUGUAAAGAUUAUUCUACACAUGUAAAUCCAGCCGUGUUUGUCCAAGACUUGAAGCAAAUGGAAACUAGGGGCAACACAGCUUUUACGUCUCAAAAUGAAAUAAUGAUCUUAAUGCAUAUGAUAAGAAAGGAAAGAGGAAGGGAGUUCCCCUGCACAGGUAAUCUCUAUUUUACCUUGAUAUCUUUCUUUGUGCUAUUUUAUUUGGAGUUUGAUUAGAAGCAGAGCUCAGUGCCAUGUAUUUCAAAUAACCCCCUGCAAGACUGAAUUAUUUCUACAGGGACCAGCUUUUCUUUU